GUAGGUAUAGCUCAGUGGCGGAAGGCACGCUUACCAUGCACGAGGUCCUGGGUGCAAUUCCCAGUACUUCCA
rnacentral:tRNA from 1 species